UCAUGCAGCUCACACAGGACGCGCUAUGAUCCAUCUGAUCCAUGGACGCAUCUUUUACGCAUCGAUGUCCGCUUGUGAAAGUGUGCGAGCUCUCACGGGCACAAUCCGCAAUUCACUGCAUUGCACGAAACCCCACGAGGGAGGCACGCUGCUCCCCUGAGGGGAAAAACACCCACCGUGCACGCUGUUGCAUCCGAAACCACCAAUCUAAAACUGUUAAAUACAGGUUAAUGAGUCACUGCAGCUUGUUGGAAAAAAUGGAAUAAAUUCAGCUGCAUUGGAAACAGGUGAUGAUGAUCACAUGCUGGGAAGGAAUUAAUUUCACCUGCAGCAACAUGUUUCUCAGUGUUGGUUUGUAGCUGGGUUUAAUGCUGGGAAACAACUUCCAGCCCAUGAUACGCAGAUCCUGCUCAUCCUACCUGAUGGACGAAGACAUCGACCGGCUCCUCCAGCGGCUCUCCCUCCCGGGUGGUCAUGGACAGGAACCCGAAGCCCAUGCGGACGUUGAACCACUUGCACACGCCGACGCCGUGGAAGGACUGUGAGUCUUCCUCGGUGCUCGGUCCCUCAUCUUCCUCGGUCUUACAAACUCCUGCAGAGGGAAAGUGAGCGUAAAGUUACACCGAUUCAACUGUGAAGGAGAGGAUGCGUGAAAAGCAUGUGCAGCUUAUUUCGUUACUCCACCUGGGAAUUCCUGGUUCGAAGCGGAGCCCAUGUCUUCACCUCAGCCUUGAGUCAGAAUUAGCACCCAAGCUACAGUAUCCUUUUUUUAAAAAAUUUUUAAAUUGAACCCCGGAGCUGGGUAAUCCUCACAGAUGCCACUUUAAUGCAAAAUGCGGUGGAGAGCAGAAGCUGCGCCGCGAGAGGGAAAGCGGGAGAGGGGGUAAACAAAAGAGGGCUGGCAACCUAUUCCCCCUAAACAAUGAGGGGUGGGGGGUCAGAUUUUUUUUUUUUUUGCUGAAGAUCCCCCCCUCCAAAAAAAAAGAUCUUAAAGACAAUGCAAGGAAACCCAGCCCCUCACAGAAACCACUUCAACCAUUCCCUCCCCCCCUCCCCAAAAAGAAGGCUCCCAGCAUACCUUCUGCCAUGUUGCAGGGCCAGUCUGCUCCCAGUGUGCACCGCUGCCGUGUCCCUCUUUGUGGACUGACUCUCUCCUCCUGCAGUGGUCAGAGCUGCUGGUCACUAAAAUGACCAUUUCCAAUCCAACAAACCCCCCACACUCAAUCCCCUCGGUCACGUCCACGUGAUUCACAAUUACACAGUCCCCAAGGGAAUCGGAUUGCAUCAUGGAAAGGGCCUCGAAUGUGAGAAGUCACCAAUCACAUCCAAGGAAAUCUCCUCAAAGAUAUUUAGAAUCACGUUUAAAUCAUGAAUUUUGUUUAAAUAAAAUGAAAACAUUUGUCUGUAUAUGAUGUAGUGUGUGUGGGGUGUGAGGUGUUUUACCUGCAGGACUGGACACUGAGGUUAUUCCUGCACAAAACACGAUAAACCUGCUUUUCCUCAGGUUUUUCUCAAACAACCAGUGACCUGAUUAAAGAUUUACUUUUACCUUGUGAAUGAUCCAGUAGUUCUAAUGUAAA